UUGUGGCCAGGUAAGCCAGCCACGCUCCUUUCCACCGGGGCCCAGUGCGUGCCGGCUGUGCAGAGCAGCUGCUCCGUGGUGCACACAGCCUGACGCUUGUGUGGGUGCUCUAAGGGCUUGGAGGCAGUC
rfam:Tupaia chinensis contig42904, whole genome shotgun sequence.